rnacentral:rRNA from 1 species
AUUGAACGCUGGCGGUAUGCUUAACACAUGCAAGUCGAACGGUAACAGGCCUUCGGGCGCUGACGAGUGGCGGACGGGUGAGUAACGCGUAGGAAUCUGCCUCAUAGUGGGGGACAACGUGGGGAAACUCACGCUAAUACCGCAUACGCCCUACGUGGGAAAGCGGGGGAUCUUCGGACCUCGCGCUAUGAGAUGAGCCUGCGUUAGAUUAGCUAGUUGGUAUGGUAAAGGCCUACCAAGGCGACGAUCUAUAGCUGGUCUGAUGGGACGAUCAGCCACACUGGGACUGGGACACGGCCCAGACUCCUACGGGAGGCAGCAGUGGGGAAUAUUGGACAAUGGGCGCAAGCCUGAUCCAGCAAUACCGCGUGUGUGAAGAAGGCCUUAGGGUUGUAAAGCACUUUCAAUAGGGAGGAAAACCUGCCGGUCAAUACCCGGUAGCUUGACAUUACCUUUAGAAGAAGCACCGGCUAACUCCGUGCCAGCCGCCGCAGUAACAC